GGCUUAGAGUUUGAUCAUGGCUCAGGAUAAACGCUGGCGGCGCACAUAAGACAUGCAAGUCGAACGGACUGAAGUUUUAGUUUACUGAUACUAAGGUUAGUGGCGGACUGGUGAGUAACGCGUAAGCAAUCUGCCUAUAAGAGGGGAAUAACAGUGAGAAAUCAUUGCUAAUACCGCAUAAGCUGUGAGAAUCGCAUGAAACAAACAGAAAAGGAGAAAUCCGCUUAUAGACGAGCUUGCGUCUGAUUAGCUAGUUGGUAAGGUAAAGGCUUACCAAGGCGAUGAUCAGUAGCCGGACUGAGAGGUUGAACGGCCACAUUGGGACUGAGAUACGGCCCAGACUCCUACGGGAGGCAGCAGUCGGGAAUAUUGCGCAAUGGAGGGAACUCUGACGCAGUGACGCCGCGUGCAGGAAGAAGGUUUUCGGAUUGUAAACUGCCUUAGACAGGGAAGAAGAAGUGACAGUACCUGUAGAAUAAGCUCCGGCUAACUACGUGCCAGCAGCCGCGGUAAUACGUAGGGAGCGAGCGUUAUCCGGAUUUAUUGGGUGUAAAGGGUGCGUAGAUGGAUAAUCAAGUUAGUUGUGAAAUACCUUGGCUUAACUGAGGAACUGCAACUAAAACUGAGUAUCUUGAGUGCUGGAGGGGAAAGCG
rnacentral:rRNA from 1 species